rnacentral:lncRNA from 1 species
UAAAAUUUGCUUGUUUUUAAAUAGUUGAAUUUGAUUUUAUAGUCAAUUUUGUGAGCAUCAAAAUAUAGGAAAAAUAAAAUUUAAUAUAAGCUUAGAAAACAUUUUUUGUGUGUGCAUUCAUGCUGUGGCAUUUUAUUUUGUGAUGUGUGAAUUUUGCAAAAGAAAGAUUUGUUCAAAAUUCAAAUUGAAAAUGCCUUUGAAAAUGAGUUGAAAAAUAAAAAAAAACCCUUCUUUCCCCCCCUCACUUUCGGCCCAGUCGGCCCAGCCAGCCAACCCCUUCUCCCUCCCUCUCUCUCUCUCUCGCCGACAGAUGGGGCCCAUCUGUCAGCUCCUUCCCCUCCAACCGCCCAUCCCCGAUUCUCCCCUCUCUCUCUCCCUGGAACCGUCGAGCCGCGCCCCCGCUUCCCACGACCUCCCUCCUCUUCCCCGCGUCUUAGCAAGUAGUGGAGAGCCCGCGCGCCAGAGCCCGAGCCCCCAUCCUCUCCCCAAUCCGCUCUUUCCUCGCCUCAACCUUCGCAUUCGUGCGCAGCAACCGCAGCGAAGAACGCCGCCGGCGAACUCCGCGCUCAAACUCGAAGAACCGAGCCGUCCCCGCCGAAAUUAGUCGCGUUGGUGAGCUCCUAUUCUUCCCCGCGCUCUUCCCGAUCAAUUUUCUCGUGAUUUGGUGCUCUCUAGCGCUCUAGCCGCGUGCUCUGACGAGCUCCAUGGCCGUCGGCCAUGGAGCGUGCUGCACGAGGCCCUGCCCGAACUCGCUAGGGACGGGGGCGAACUCCUCUCGCUCUCCUUUUUCUCCAGGAGUUUUCGGUUUGGGAAAUAGUGCUCCGUAGUGCGUUCUCUGCCUUCUCCGGCGAGCAGCUCGCCGCCGGCCAUGGAGCGCAGCCGCGCCUCCCCUGUCUCCGGCCGGCAGCGCCACCUCUUCCCCCCUAACCGACCAGCGCCGUUGAUUUCUAAUCAGACGACCGAGCGCCCCGUACCCCUUCGGGGGCAAUUUUGCUUAAAGAACCCCUCCCAGA